rnacentral:tRNA from 1 species
GGCCUCGUGGUCCAACGGCUUACGACGCGUGGGUGACAACCACGAAACGGGGGUUCGACUCCCUCCGGGGCCA